rnacentral:rRNA from 1 species
UACGAAGGGGGCUAGCGUUGCUCGGAAUCACUGGGCGUAAAGCGCACGUAGGCGGCUUCUUAAGUCAGGGGUGAAAUCCUGGAGCUCAACUCCGGAACUGCCUUUGAUACUGAGGAGCUUGAGUCCGGGAGAGGUGAGUGGAACUGCGAGUGUAGAGGUGAAAUUCGUAGAUAUUCGCAAGAACACCAGUGGCGAAGGCAGCUCACUGGCCCGGUACUGACGCUGAGGUGCGGAAGCGUGGGGAGCAAACAGG